ensembl:lncRNA
AGAGGAAGCCCGGGAAACCGGUUUCCGCGUUGCAGCUGCUAUCCAGCGCUCCCUGGCCGGUCCCAGAACCGAGACCUGGGCGCUAGGUGCAGCUGCUCUGCGGUGCCCGCUGCUGUGUGGGCGCCUGUACGUCAGUCAGGGCAGGCGGCGCCGGGAGCGGACCGAGGGCUGCCCGGCGGAAGGGCUCUGUCCGCGGCUGCGGGCCUUAAGAACGUGCGGGCCGCCUCCGUUGUGGGCCUCCCGAACAUUUUGCAUUGUUCUGUUCUUCAAGCUAAUGGAGGAAAAACACCCUGAUGGACAUGAGCCACGUUGGACCCACACUCACUGGGCUUGGCAAAGGGUGAAGAAAUCAGGAGAAUGGAGAGAAAUUCCACAGGUGGAUGGCAAUGUGCCACUUCAGCUCCGCCUGGUGCCUGGCAUCCCCUCCAUCUGGGACAUGGGGACCCUUCUCUAAAGAAACCCAAAAGCUUCAGGGAAAUAUCAAGACCAGGGAGGGACCAGAAGCCUCAGCUCCCUGCUGAUUCCACUUUAAGUCCUG